rnacentral:lncRNA from 1 species
UUCAGUUUUCUCUGUUCCCCGGUGAUAGGCCUUAUAAAUGCUGUGGAAACAGAAACUAUCACCACAUGCAGCAGUGGGAAAAAAAACGAGGAAAAAGCCCUGAGAAACUCAUUUCCUCAACUGGGUGUCAGAAGUUUCAGAAUCAGGCUCGAGUUAUUCCAUCUCCAGGUUAUGUUUCUCCCCUGGGAAUGGACUUUAACUGCAUGUAUUUGGCAAAAUCUCCUCUUAAAGCUGAAAUAAUUUGCAGCUACUGGUUCUUUCACUCACACUAUAUGGGUAGGAACUCCUGCCACCAUAAACCCUCCAGAUUUUGGACACAGUAACAGCAUCACAGGCUGUCGCUGAUUAAAGAUGGGCUUGGCAACUGGAGCAAUGGGACUUGAGGAGGCAAUUCCCUGCUGUGGCAGAAACCCGGAGCCAAAAACCUAGGAGGUCUCUUCCAGAGCUGCCUUGCUUGCAACCAGCUCCUGUUUCCCUCUCGUCUGGGUUCAGCUGGACUGAUGAAGACAUGAACUUCCGUUUUUUGGUGCACAGCAAACCAGACUAAC